GAGGCUGUGACAUUGGGUCUUCCAGGAGGCAGAAUUCCUGAGACCUCUGUGCCUCAGCUCCUUCCCAUGUGGAGGAGGAUUGUGCUGAGCAGCCCUGGUGGGCACUUGUGAUCACCUGGGGCUGGAUCUCAGCAGAGACAGCUCAGCCUCCAUCCCUAGGAAGUGGGCCCAGUGUCCAGCUGUGAGGGACUGCACAGGGCCAUCUGCCUUCACCUGGACAUCCAGAUGGGUGCUGCACUGGCUCUGGAAAUGGACCCAGCUCAGAAGAGGAACUGACUCGUUCACAGGGCCAAGAACCUCAAAUUACGCAGGUGGGAAUCUGCGUUCUCCAUUCCUCAGCUCCACUUUCUUCCCAGCUGGCUUCAUUCUGGGCCAGACACUGUCCACGUGGAGUCCAAGCUGGUUCCUGACAGCUCAACCCAUGCUCCUCAAAGAAAACUCAGGACCUGUUACUAAAAGAGGGAAGGACACUGGACAGGCAGAACAAAGUGGUUGGCACCUGGCGCCUCCCUUAACCUGCAAGUCUGAAUCCCGUGUGUCCCGUGUGGACUGGCCAACAUGCAGUGUGUGCUGCUCAGCAGCUGGGCCAGCCUCCGUCUCCACCGCCAGGGCAGAGUGUGGGUGGGUGGGUGGCUUCACUGAGGGCAUAGGAAUGUCAGAAUGCAGGUGCUAGCAGAGAAACAAAGGUUCUGUGAAUGUCAUCCCGAUGAGAUGUGGCUGGACCUGCCUGGGGUGCCCCGGGAAUCCCUGGCCCCAGGUUCAGCAGUGGGUCUUCCACUGCGAGAGGCAGGUUGGAGNCACAUACUGCAUGCUCACACAAGGGCACAGAGACACACGCCCUCACACACACAAUGCGCAUGCAGGACUAUGUUCCCAGACCCUUCCCCCUGCCUGUGUUGCUCAGGGCCACUGGGUACCCCUCAGCUCUUCCACCCCAGUGUAACUCUAUGGGCUCCGCAGCCCUGAGCAAAGGGGCUCUGUCUCCACCAUUCCUUCAUUACAGGAAGGGUGUGCAAGAGCAGGUGUGGCAGGCCUACACUGUUUGUUCCAGGAAGGGGACAGCCUCUGUUCCUCCCUGGGCCAGGAAGGAAAGACCAACUGCACUUGAGCUGGGAGUUAUCACGGACCAGCCCCUGGGCCACAUCUUGUGGGAGGCUGAAGGAUAAUGACCAGUGCUCCUGCACAGGGAGCUGUGUGGGCACCAGGCCUGACUGGGAGGAGCAGGGGGGGAAAGAGAGGAGGGUGGCCGAUGAGAGGGCAGGAUCUGUGGGAGGGCGGGGCCUGUGGGAGGGUCGGACCUAUGAGAGGGCAGGAUCUGUAGAAGGGCGUUGCCUAUAAGAAGGAAGGAGGGGCCUUGGGAGGGCGGGGCCUAUGAGAGGGCAGGAUCUAUAGAAGGGCGUUGCCUAUAAGAAGGAAGGAGGGGCCUUGGGAGGGCGGGGCCUAUGAGAAGGAAGGAGGGGCCUUGGGAGGGCGGGGCCUCCUUGAGGUGAGGAGCCUUCCUGGGGUGAGCAGGGAGUAUUGUCCUCUGCCCUCUAGAGUCAGCUUGAUUGACUGUGGUUGGCACACGACACACAGGCUGGGCUGGAAGACCCCAGGAUGACUGGCUGAGCAGGGAAGUGAAGGACAUUCAUUCUCUGACCUCAGCUGAACAUCUCUCUGAGUCAUACUGCCCAGGGCUGGGGGUGUGGGGACAGGUCAGACUGGAACCUGCUGCCUUCAUUCCUUCGUAGGUCAUUGGUUGAUUCACCCCGUGUGAGCCUGGCUCUAAGUUCCCAUCCUCAGAGCACCCAGGGAGGUGGGACCUGCUGUUUGCCCACUUUACAGAGGGCGACUGAGGCAGUGGUCACAUACAAGGACACCCCACUAGGGAUAGGUGGAGGUUGCAACCCACCCAGCUGUGGGAGGCUGAGCUCAUCUCAGAAGCCCCGGCGCUGCACUUACUGAGCAUCUGGUCAGCACCAGGGUCUAGGGGUGAACAGGUCAGAGAAUGUGCUGAGGAUGAUUUAAUUAAAAAAAUCUUCAAAAACAAAAUGCAGAUCAGGAAUAGCACCACAAAACAAAUGCAUGGCUUAGUCAGGGGCUCCGAGGGGAACAGCCUCACAGCUGCCAGGGGCGUCACUGGGAACUGUGCUUGGUCCUGAGUGCUGCGUGGGCCCCUUCCCCCAGGGCCCGUCCUGCCCUGCACAGGUACUUCUGCCUUGCAUUUCUUCCCUGAGCACUUCGGUUUAGCUUUCCCUCUUUUCAAAACUAUGUCUUUUUUUUUUUUGGUUGUUUAAAACAUUACAUAGCUCUUGACAUAUCAUAUUUCAUACAUUUGAUUCAAGUGGGUUAUGAACUCCCAUUUUUACCCCAUAUACAGAUUGCAUAGCUCAGUUGGUAGAGUGCUUGCCUUUCAUGCACAAGGCCUUGGGUUCAAAUCCCAGCACCACAAAAAAAAAAAAAAGAUGCCCUUAAAACUAUAUCUAAGAAGAAGAAGAUCUCAAGUGUCUUUCACACUUCAGCCCCCCCCCCCCCCCACCUGCCUUCUUUCCUGACGGCAUCUCUGUUGAAGGAUCUGUCAUUCACCUGCAGCCUGGUAGUGCAGCUCAGGGAGUGCCUGGUGUUCCUCUGAGAUUCCUCUGAGACCCCUCCAGCUGGGCUUCAUCUGCAGAAGCACAGGGUCCUGCUGUGCCCUUCUCCUGGAGGCACAGGUCGGCUCUGCAUGCACCCCUGACACUCCAGGCCCGAAGCCACUAGUUCACUGAAAUGGAGGUAGUCUAAGUCUGCAGGUGCUCUUCACUUAUUAGCUGGAUCAGCUUCAUGAAAACAGCUGGGACUUUGUCCCCUGCAUACAAGCAGGGGGAAGCUCGGCUGCUCCCCCUUGGGGCCCCUCCUCAGGGAAGUGGACUCCUUUUACAGUUUGUUUCAGUCACUGUGGACUCAGGCUCUUUUUCAGCUGGGCCUGGGGAGGGUAUUGAAGAGAAGAGAGAGUGGGCUCCUGCUGUGGGGAGGAAGGGACCUCCUCCAAGCUGAAGGGGACGCUCAGGAGAGGGGAGGGUGCCCGGAAGAGGCUGGGAGGGGCCAGAAGGAGGCUCGCCUCUGAGGGGCCCAACGGAGGCGUCAACGGCCAGGAGGCCUCCGGAGUGGAAGUGUCCACGCGGUGAGCCCGGGGUCCAGAAGCUGCAGGGCUCCAGGGGCCCUCUGCUGAACUCAAGGGGUUGCCUUAGCGUGCUAGGACCGUGGGCCCACACGUGGCACGGGGCGGGGUCUGAGGCCGGUCAAGGAGCCGCCCUGUAAGCGUGGUGGUGGCAGAGUCCAUGAGAAGCAAGCUGACCCGAGGGACGACACGCAGAGCCCUUGGUCAGCACGGCGGCGUCCGCAUGGAGGGUCUGAUUCAGGAGUUAUGCUGUUGGAAAAGGCUUCAAAGAAGCAAGCAGCUUUCUGGAGCCUUAGAAUUCUCUUCUUUGUGAAGUGGAAUAAAAAAAAAUAAAAGUAAAAUUAAAAAAAGGCUUGUUUUGUGGAAGGUGGUGAUGCCAGCCACAGGGAGGAGCAGAACUUUGUAGAAAACCGAACGAAGGCGUCUACCGUGCUUAUGUUUGGAACCAGGUCAGUUAAUAGAGUGACUGCUUUCAGAUGAAAAGGAAGCGACCAUCAGGAAUUGGCUUGAAUAUGUGAUGGUCCCAAGCAGGCACUGACGUCACCAUAUUUGGAGGCCCCUCGUCCCACCUCAUCAUAGUGUCUCAUUGAGUUGCCUCCUGGUCAUUUUUUUUUUAAAUUCAGAGCCAAUUUUGUGGUAUGGUUUGCAUGCAUAAAAUGCACUGAUUUUAAGUGUGCAUUUACUGAGCUUCGACAAAGGUCCAUGCACAUGUAACAGCCCAGCAACCUAUAUAAGCAGCGCUCCACCAGCUCAAGCCCGCCCCUCGCGCACCUUCACUGUCUGCCCACCUGGCUUCCACACCACUGACCUGCUUUCCCUGCAGCAGAGCCGCCUUGACCAGGGUUGUCAGCAGAGCCCUGCAGCACGAGGCUGUGACAUUGGGUCUUCCAGGAGGCAGAAUUCCUGAGACCUCUGUGCCUCAGCUCCUUCCCAUGUGGAGGAGGAUUGUGCUGAGCAGCCCUGGUGGGCACUUGUGAUCACCUGGGGCUGGAUCUCAGCAGAGACAGCUCAGCCUCCAUCCCUAGGAAGUGGGCCCAGUGUCCAGCUGUGAGGGACUGCACAGGGCCAUCUGCCUUCACCUGGACAUCCAGAUGGGUGCUGCACUGGCUCUGGAAAUGGACCCAGCUCAGAAGAGGAACUGACUCGUUCACAGGGCCAAGAACCUCAAAUUACACAGGUGGGAAUCUGCGUUCUCCAUUCCUCAGCUCCACUUUCUUCCCAGCUGGCUUCAUUCUGGGCCAGACACUGUCCACGUGGAGUCCAAGCUGGUUCCUGACAGCUCAACCCAUGCUCCUCAAAGAAAACUCAGGACCCGUUACUGAAAGAGGGAAGGACACUGGACAGGCAGAACAAAGUGGUUGGCACCUGGCGUCUCCCUUAACCUGCAAGUCUGAAUCCCGUGUGUCCCGUGUGGACUGGCCAACAUGCAGUGUGUGCCGCUCAGCAGCUGGGCCAGCCUCCGUCUCCACCGCCAGGGCAGAGUGUGGGUGGGUGGGUGGCUUCACUGAGGGCACAGGAAUGUCAGAAUGCAGGUGCUAGCAGAGAAACAAAGGUUCUGUGAAUGUCAUCCCGAUGAGAUGUGGCUGGACCUGCCUGGGGUGCCCCGGGAAUCCCUGGCCCCAGGUUCAGCAGUGGGUCUUCCACUGCGAGAGGCAGGUUGGAGCCAAAAGUUCUAGUGGCAAGCUCAGUGCCAGAUCCCGUGGACUGUGGGUCUCUGAAACGCACUUGAGUGCCCUCAGGCUCCCUGGGAACAGAAAGCAGCCGGAGGGAGGCCACGGGCCCACUGUGCACGGUGCACGUCACCAGGCGGGGGCCGUGGAGAGAAAGCCUGAGCCCCGGGAGACAGGGCGCAGGGGUGAGGUCUCUUCUGGUCUCCGGGAGGCGAGUGUCUGACCACAUGGGGCUUUCCAACAAGGGUGGGCAGCAGUGUGGGGCGGCCUGCAGGCCUCCCGGGCUCAGUGGGUGAAGUCAAAGCCGUGAUGAGCUCACCAGGAAACCGGAUGUGGGAUGCUUGCUCCAAUUCAAAAUCCACUUCAAAAUCCAAGUGAAAAGCGGAGCGGCAGGAGUGAGUUCGAGAAAAUCCUGCCUCACUGCAAAGCACAGGGUGCCUCCCGUCCAUGCAGAACCGCUGGACAUUCCUCCUGGCCCGGGAGAGGGUCCUGGGGGUGGGGCGGGAAGGCCGAAGGCUGUGUGGAACUCUCUGGAUGAAGACGUGGGAUUCUUUUAGCUCCAACCGUGGACACUGUGACUGAUGAAGUCCUUUGCAUCUUCUCAGUGAGUCGCUGCAGAGUGCUCUGCUGAGCAGCAUGUGAUCUGCUGACCCUUCGUUUGCUAAGGGCCCUGUUGAGCAUAAAAAUAUCCCAUCGAUAGCCAAAUGUGCCUUCAGAACUGGCCGGUGGCAACUUCCGAGGGUUGCUGUGGUGUCCAUCCUGCUGCUGGUUCUGGAGCUGCCCUGGGCAGCUCUGGGGGCUACCAGACUAGGGCACCGGCACCCCAUCAGUGCCUGCCCAGCCCCUCUCCAGGGGCCAUAGGUUGAGUGGAUCCCGAGGAUGGCCGGCAGCAGGGCAGGGCGGGCAGUGGCCAGGCUGGUGCCUCCUGUGAAGAAGGAGUUCCCAGGGCACCAGGUUUUACCACAGGACAUGCACAUGUGGGCCUGGGUCCCUGUGCAGGAGGCUGUGGCCCCGGGCUGCCCUUGGUGUCACUCAGGAAUAGAUGGCCCCACCUGUGGCAGCUGCCCAGGGACCCAGUGCCCACCCUCCCCCAUGUGCAGUGGGCUAUCACACACUUGAGCACACACUCACUCACCCUCACACCCACAGUUCGCACACACCAGACCCCAAUCAGAUGGACCCACAGCUCUGCCAGCUGACCUGUGGUGCCCUCCAGGACAGCAAGGCUCCUGUGACUUGGGACAGACAGUGUGGCGAUAGCAGCAAAACCACAGCCCGGGAACCGUCUUAGUUCCUGGAACCAAGACAGGGAAAUGGCCCCAAGAACAUGUUUCUUGUGCUCUCAUUUGUCACCUGAGGCUGUGGCCUGGCCAACCAGAGCGUCCCUGUGAAUCGGCCAGAUCCAGCCUGAGAGCCAGGUGAGCUCCUGCGGGGGAGGGGCUGUGGCCCCCACCCUAUCCGCUCCAUUAGCUGUGGGGAAGAGCCCCGUCCAGCAGCCCCAGCCGUGCCCUGGGGGAGGAGUGGGGGGCAGCCAGGGCAGCAGGUGGGGCUGCUCAGCCUCACCGUCCAGCACCCUUAGCCGCCCUCUGUGCAGGUCGCUGGAGCCAGAUUCUCCCCAGUGCUUCAGCCACCCCCCAGUGGGGUCCUGGCCUCCUGCUCUUCUCAGUAAGGGUCCACCAAUGACCCUGAGCCUUUCACAUAAUAGAACCAGCAGCUUCAGCUGUCCAUCAGCUGGAUGGAAAGUCC
rnacentral:lncRNA from 1 species